GCUGGCCAUCGCGAGCAGCCGAGAAAAAGAAAUCCCGGUGGCCCGGCUGAUUUGCCACAUUGCCCAGCUUGUUUGUAUUUACCUACUUAUUCAUUAUUACUUUAUUAAUACAACCUACUCUUGAUCAGGGGGAUGCAUCCCAGUUUAUUUUCAGUGGGAUAGGCAGCAGAUGGAGGGCAGCUCGAGCAGUAGCGCUUGCCAAGAUCCUUCACAUCAAUAUAGCAUGAAAGAUAAAAAGACCACCAAGUGAAAAUAUACAAAUAAGCAUCAUUAAAUUUUUUUUUUUUAGGUUUUUAGCUCUGGUUUGUAGUAGCCUACAAUAUUUCAUAGCUACUUGUGCUGCAAAUCAAGAGCACUGUAUGAUUUAUUUCGGUUCAUUGUUGUAUGUUGGAUUCCCGCAGUAAUCAUUUGGGUACGCCACAGGCAUGGAAAUAAAUAAUAAUGAAUAAGUCAAUAAAUAACUAUAAACAAGAUGGGCAAUGUGCCAAAUCAAAAUAGGCCUAUUUGAAUUUAUUCAUUGAAAUUAAUAAUUGAAAAUAAACCAUAGUGCUCUUUACUUGCAGCACCUGUCCUGAAGGAACCCAGCGCAGUAUUAAAACAACUGCAGUGUCUGUUGUCAUGUCACUCCAGCACAGUAGGUGGCGCUGUGAACCUAAAACUGUGUUUGUGUGCCAUUAGCCGCCAGUAAACGUAUAAAAGAAGAAGAAACGCAGACGAACAUCAAAUAGCAGAAAACAAAAAAAAAACAAAAAAAUAAAUAAAUAAAAUGGAACACCCAGUGUCAGCAGUUUUUACACAUCCGCCCAAAGGAUGGGGCUGGAGGUGGCCUUCGUUAUUAAAGGCCCAAAUGGACCGGAACACGUGCCCAGAUCUUCCCGCUGCCCGUCCUCCUCCUCCUUUUUUUUUCUUACGUUUUUAACUAUUUAAGAAUUAUUUUUAUCCAUUUAUCCCCAUCCAAGAUUUUGUUUCUCCUCACUGCCUGUCCUCCACCACUUUUUUUUAUUUUAUUUUUUAACAUCUUUUAUAAUUAUAUUAUGUGAGCUUCACAUUUUUAACUAUUUAAGAAAAUUACUUUUAUCCAUUUGUAUUUAUUUUUUUUACCUCAUUUUUAUUGAAGAUUUUGUCUUUUUUUUUUUUUUAUUUUUUUUUUUUAAAUUGGUUUUACAGUUUUUAAUUUUUUAAUCACCACUUUCUGUUUCCGAUUCACUUUUUUCUUUCUUUUUUAACUCCGUUUUUUAUAUGGGCUUCACACUGGGAAAUGGGCUAUGCCUACACUACCCAGAAUUCCUUGAGAUGGUAUAAAAUGGAGAACAGGACACUUCUUAAGCACCUGCAAUAAGCUCAAUAUAUCUUCAGAGAUAAAACAAGCAGAGACUGACGAGACGUACCUGGACAUUUGAACAUGAGCAUUGAGAGACAUUUCUCCCGUCAGAUCAACUUUGUGAUGAAGAUUCUGGGGCUGCAGAUCAGGAUCAUUGAGGAGGACACGGGGGUGAAUUUCAGGAUCCAUGAAGGACGAGAUCAUGGUAAUGAAGCAGCACUACGGUCAGAGGACAGGACUGGACGUGGCACGCUCCAAGAUAACACAUCUAGUGACUAACUGAAUGUUGAACCUGUAACAGUGUUGAGGCUCUUGACUGCAGUGUGUUCGCAUGACCUCUCUAGUCUUUUAGUAUUGAUUAGAUUCACUUGAGUUUCUUUCAGGUCUUCUGCUGUGCAAAUGAUUCACUUGAUUUUCUGAUUCUCUUUCAGAUCUUCUGCUGUUCAAAUGAUUCACUUGAGUUUCUGAUUCACUUUCAGAUCUUCUGCUGUGCAAAUGAUUCACUUGAGUUUCUGAUUCUCUUUCAGACCUUCUGCUGUUCAAAUGAUUCACUUGAGUUUCUGAUUCUCUUUCAGAUCUUCUCCUCGCUGCUUGUCCUCCUUCACCACCUUUUUCACUGUCACUGUUUUACAACUUGUAUGUGGAGAUUAUUUUAUUCUAAUUUUAAUUUAAGAAUGACUUAUUUUACUACUUGUUAUUCUUUAAGUAUUUAUGUAUUAUGUCAGUUUAAGAAAUGUUAGUGUUCCAGUUUUUGACUGUUUUAAUGUGUUGUUGUUUUUUUUUUUUUUUUUUCUCUUCAACACUCGUGAUUUGCUGCUUGUAAAUAAAGCUCAUCUUGGUUCUUGUUUCUCAUCUCUGGUGUGAUUCUUGUGUCCGUCGGCUCCGUUAUCACUGAGUUACAGCAUUAUAAAAGUAACUAAUUACCAGGGAAAGUAACU